rnacentral:snRNA from 1 species
GGAGAUGAGGGCCAUCUGGCUGCGACAUCUGUCACCCCAUUGAUCACCAGGGUUGAUUCAGCUGAUCUGGCUGGCUAGGUGGGUGUCCCCUUCCUCCCUCACUGCUCCAUGUGCAUCCCUCCCGAAGCUGUGUGCUCAGAUGAAGAGGAUGACCUUCCCCGCUAGAGGAGGACUGUCCUUUGGUCAAGAGUAUACGAGUAGCUGUGCUCCCCGGGUAGAACCUCCAAACAAGCUCUCAAGAGAACAUGGAAGGGAAGUGGAUUUGGCUCAAUGGAUAGGGUGUCCGCCUACCAUAUGGGAGGUCCAGGGUUCAAA